rnacentral:misc_RNA from 1 species
AAGUCGUAACAAGGUUUCCGUAGGUGAACCUGCGGAAGGAUCAUUAGAUGAUAAGGGCUGUCCUUUAGGCGCCCGCCCGUCCGUCCUGCGUUCUGUCUUAUACGGAUCAUCCCGUUCGGGGGAUGGAUCUGUAUGGGAAAAAGAAAAAGGAAAAGAGAGAGACCCCUUGUGUGCAUCUAUUGAAACGUUGCUUUGGGAAAGUGGGUUUUCAGAGAAGCCCCUUUGAAGCUCCUUCCCAGAGUUUUGUUCUCACGCAUGCUUUAACUUUUUAGACUGAAAAAAAAUUUUUUUUUAAUCCAAUACAACUUUCAACAACGGAUCUCUUGGCUCUC